UACGAAGGGGGCUAGCGUUGUUCGGAAUUACUGGGCGUAAAGGGUGCGUAGGCGGCCUUGUAAGUUAGGUGUGAAAGCCCCGGUUUCAAGCUGGGAAUAGCAUUUAAUACUGCAAGGCUAGAGGUUAAGAGAGGAUAGUGGAAUUCUGAGUGUAGAGGUAAAAUUCGUAGAUAUUCAGAGGAACACCAGAGGCGAAAGCGUCUAUCUGGAUUACACCUAACGCUGAGGCACGAAAGUAUGGGGAGCAAACAGG
rnacentral:rRNA from 1 species